UCUAAAUAAUUAGUUCAGAAUUGAUUUGGCGUUAAUCUAUUUAAAUUAAUCCUUGUGGAGAACGACCUUGCUUGAGCCAACUAUACUACGAUAAUCUUGUUUCUCUUGCAAGUAUUUUAGGUGUUUUUAACCCUUUUGCGCAGGUGGUAAAAAUCCUAUCAAGAAAUUGGCGCCGCUGCCGGGGAUUGAUUUUAUAUAGAUUUUUGUUUAUCUUAUUCUCAAUUAAUUAUUCCCGUAUAUAAUAAAAUAAAAUAAAAAUUGAUUUCGUUAAUUUUAUUUUAUUUUAUCUUCUCUUCUGCAGAUUGUGCAUUGCAUGGUUUGUACCAGAUCACAAAAACAGCAACUUGCAGAUUUUGAUUCAGAACUUGAACGAACAACUUGACAAAGACGUAGAAAGAAGAAUUUGCAGUGGGAACCUUCACUGCAGGAAACAAUUUUGCAUAACCUGUUUACUGGGGUUUUGGAUAGCACACAAGUUAUGGCAUUUGUUCUACCAACAGCGGGAUAACCACUGAGGGAAUCCCUGGCAGCUCAUGCCACAGAGGUGCCAAGCUACAUUACCUAUCAUGAAGUUGAAGAUGGGUCAACGUUUGAGAUACAACAUCAUAUGUUGGAGAUCUUGCCCUCUUUUCACGGUUUGUCAACAGAUGAUCCUAACAUGCAUCUAACUAAAUUUCUAAUGGGGUGCAAAAACAUUUUGGUGAGAGGAUUUUCAGCAGAAUCUAUCUAACUCAGACUUUUUCCGUACACUUUGAAGGAUGGUGCAAGAAAAUGGUUACUCACACUUCCGUCUGGAAGCAUUACUUCGUGGAACCAACUCAGUGCUGCGUUUUUAAGCAAAUACUACCCAGCUUUAAAAACACUUGAUAUGUGCACUCAAAUUUUAACAUUUGCUCAUAAACAAAAUGAAGCAAUUCAUGAAGCAUGGAAACGUUACAAGGAUCUGCUUAGGAAAUGUCCACAUUUAGGCAUUAAUGGUGACACUCAAAUGAAUUUAUUUUACAGAGGGCUGAAUUUGACUACUAAGACUCUUGUUAAUGCUUCUUGUGGAGGAACAUAUUCAAACAAAAAUGCACUACAAGCGUAUCAAUUGUUUGAGAACAUGGCGACAAAAUCUCAACAAUGGGCAGUUGUUAUACCUCAGACCAAGGGUGUUUUUGAGAUGUCCAGUGGCUCACCUCAUGUAUCUACACAAAUAGAAAAGAUGGAGAAAAAGUAACAAAAUUUUUAUGCAUAAUUUGACAUGCUUUUACAAAGAAUGGCAGCAUCUGUGUAGCAGGUUGCUCCUCUGGAGCAAAAUGUGACCAAACGGACAAAUUUUGGAGUGAUUCAAAUUGGAGGACGUUUAUGUGUUCCUUAGCUUGUUCGUGUCAAAAUCUCAGCAAUUUCUACCAAGCAGUUAUUUUCUAGAGAUUAAAUGGAGCAGUGCGCGUUGCUGGAAAGUGACGUUUCUGAGCUUAAACUGCAUUUUUGGAGCCCAAGAUGACUUCAAAUGGGUUCGUGGCCUUCUAGAGAAGUGUUCAGAACAGUCAAAACUUUGAUUCCAGCUAUUUUGGGCCAGUUUUGGAGAUGAUUUGGGUCCAAAACGUGGCUGUGCAAGAUUUUGGGCGAAUUUACCAAGUCAAUUUAGGAUUAUGUUUCCUAUUUUAUUUUAAUUUAUUUAGUUUCCUAGUCGUAUUCUAAGACCUUUUAUUAGGAGGAUUUAAUUUAGGGUAGUAUAAAUAAGCCUUUUGGAACACUAGGGUUUUUUUUAGAGAGAGAGAGAGAGAACGCAUGCAAAUUUUUGGAGAGAAGAUUUUGGGCAAAGCUUAGAGAUUUCGAGACUUUUACUUUCAAGGUGUUUUCACUCUUUUUCAAUUUCAAUAAAGACUUUAUGAUUUUUAUUAUGAAUAUGCGUAACUAAUUUUCUUUUGCUAGGGUGAGGCCAUGAUCCUUAGCAAGAAUAUGUAAUCUCUUCUUAAUUUGCUUAUGAAUUCAUGCAUGCAAGUUUUGAAUUGUUAAUCACCGAUUUAAACUAUCUAUUUGUCUUAGUGAUUUGCAACCAUUAGGAUAUUUAAAAAAGUAAUUUGAUGCAAUUUUGGCAGAGGGUUGUCCCAAAAAUUGACUAAGGCUUCUUGUUGUUAAUAUGUGUAACCUCUUAGGAUGGACGACACGUUUUAAGGGUUAUAUGGUUUUUCAAAGGGUUUUCACAAAACUUAAUGAGUCUUGCAUGUUCACAUUCAAUCUGGACACCACGAACAGGUUGCAUGUUAGAUAUACGUGCUAUGUUGGAGGUUCCAAGUAGGAUAUGCUCUAGGAAAACCUAACCUUCAAAAUAUGCAUGUAUGGUUCAUAAGUAAUUAGGAGAGUUACAUAGGGUUGUUAGGAUGACAGCGGAACCCUAGUGCUUUGUCACUUUGAUUUUAAAAAUUGUUUCUUUCUCCCUCUUUAAAAUUGCAGUUUUUAAGUAAUCUUUUUAAUUAAAUUCUUUUUUCUUAAUUUAAGUCAUUAAAUCACCUUUUUCCAAAAUUUUGUUCUAAAUAAUUAGUUGAGAAUUGAUUUGACGUUAAUCUAUUUAAAUUAAUCCUUUUGAAGAACGACCUUACUUGAGCCAACUAUACUACGACAAUCUUGUUUCUCUUGCAAGUAUUGUAGGUGUUUUUAACCCUUUUGCGUAGGUGGUAAAAAUCCUAUCAACAGUGUACACUCCCGACUGGGCCCCUGAGAUAGCAUAUAUUCCCGUCUUAGCUCGCAAAGGAGCAUGCACUCUCGAUUAGUCCCACGGACUAGCAUACAUUUACAAUUGAGGCCACACUCCAAUAUUCAACAUGAGCAACCUUCUAGGCGAAGUGUUCAUU
rnacentral:lncRNA from 1 species